rnacentral:rRNA from 1 species
GAUGAACGCUGACAGAAUGCUUAACACAUGCAAGUCAACUUGAACUUCGGUUUGGGUGGCGGACGGGUGAGUAACGCGUAAAGAACUUGCCUCACAGCUAGGGACAACAUUUGGAAACGAAUGCUAAUACCUGAUAUUAUGAUUUUAGGGCAUCCUAGAAUUAUGAAAGCUAUAUGCGCUGUGAGAGAGCUUUGCGUCCCAUUAGCUAGUUGGAGAGGUAACGGCUCACCAAGGCGAUGAUGGGUAGCCGGCCUGAGAGGGUGAACGGCCACAAGGGGACUGAGACACGGCCCUUACUCCUACGGGAGGCAGCAGUGGGGAAUAUUGGACAAUGGACCAAGAGUCUGAUCCAGCAAUUCUGUGUGCACGAUGAAGUUUUUCGGAAUGUAAAGUGCUUUCAGUUGGGAAGAAAAAAAUGACGGUACCAACAGAAGGAGUGACGGCUAAAUACGUG